AAAGGGAGUCCGCCUACCCCCCUUCUCUUAACGGCGAAUCAAGGCUCCCUAGUACAGAUUCGGGCCCAGCAGCAGUGGCUGAGGGUGUAGAAAUGGUAGCCGCGGGAUUUUGGUACUUAAGGGUUAAGUUUAAAUUCGUGGACAGGGAGGCGCCGGCUUCAUCGCGGGCACGUCACAGGGGGCCAACGAGCAAGUCUGAGGACGGUGGAGAUCGCGAGGAAAGCAUCAGGGUCCGUUCGACACGUGGCACAAUGGGGCCCUUGGCCGGCAUCCAUCGGCGUAGAGCGGCUGGUGGGCUGUAGGUGGGACCUGGGAAAAGAUGAUGGUCGGGGAGAAGGUUCUGGAAAGCGGCUACGCGGUUUGAAUUCUUUUCUUUUAAAACUACACGGUUUGAAUUCGACAUGACCAAGGCUCGUGCUUCUUGGCUAAGGGUCCUCCUCCUUUUUUUUGAGAUUACCUAAGGGUCCUUCUACGUGACGCAUUUUUUAAGAAACCUAGAAAAAGAUGUAUAAAUUCCAAAACAAAGGGUCUCGUGAAUUUAAAUAUUAACAACAAUGAUAAUCAGAUUGACUUGUGCAUAAAAUAAAAGUUAACAAUAUGAUGCAUGACAUCGAUUGAUCUCUCUGGUGUCAAAAUUUGCCAGUCUGCAGACGUUUUGUUUGUAUCAUGUGUAGCAAAUUGUUGAUAUAUAAAGUAAGGUGUAAAUAUGAGCACAAACGUUGUGUACUUGUGUAUACCUUUUACACGUCUUAUGAAGAGAACGUGCUACAACUAGAAUCAACUUUAUUACCCUCAAGUGAAAAUAGAAUUAUACAGUAAGGUGUCUUCAUCAAAUAGGUCCUGUAAAGCAAGGUUGGGGAUUUGUAGAUAUGGCUUUGGUUCUAUAGAGCACCAAGUUUUGUGAUAGGGCGCGUAGGUUGCGGUGAUAGCAGACAACUAGACAUUAUUCUCCUCAAACCAUGUUACCAGAUUAAAAUCCAUACUCAAUACACAUUUACAACAUAAAAAAAUGACGACCCAAAUCAUGUACCAUACAUUAGAAUGGCAAACAAAUUUGGAACCCGUACCCAUAUCAUGCCUCCGUAACUCAGUUUCAACCGUAUAUCCAAACACAACCUCGCCAAUUUAAAAGUUAUACCCUUUUCAUGCCACAAUUAAGACUGCAAUUCGUUAUGAGAUAACACAUAUUUUAAGCAAAUUUAGUACUCUAAUUCAUGGCACAAAUCGCUGGGAGAGGAGCUGUUGGAAUCUGGAAACAGGAAAAAGUCCAUUUGAACCAUGUAAAUUAUAUUUAUUUUAGAAUUCCAUCCACAACCGUGGACCUUGUGUUCUUAAAAUUCAGAACCUGACGGGGACACUUUGAAGUCGGAAAAAAUCACAUUGCCACCUUUUGCAGCUGUGCUUAGAAUUAAUAACACUUGAAGUUAUCUAUCCUUGACUAGAUACUUGUUUAUUGCCAUAUGCGGACCUAGUCCUAAACUAGCUCGUGGUACCCUUGAAGCCCAAUUUCCCAAGUGGGCCGAAGCCCAGCGGAUAAAAUGUUGGGCUAAGAAGAGCCCAAGAAUGCUUCUCUCCUAACAAAAGAGAAGUCAUGCCCUCGUACCAAACCUAUAUAGCUUCCGGAAGCCCGGAAGGCUUCCACGUUCUCCACCGUCCGAUCCAUCUCCCUCACCCGCCCGAUCCUCUCUCUAUCUUCUUCCUCCUCUCGGCUUCUGCCCGCGCCACGCCACUCGCUCGCUGGAGCGCGAAGGGGCGGGAGGUCGGGGAGCGGCCGGCAGUGAGGUCGCCACUGACCGGGGGAGGUGGUGGAGGCGGUGGUGGUUAGGGCUAGGAUUUGGGUUUACCGAGGUCCGGGGGUUUCAAUGGCCUCCGGAUAUAGAAGAGGAGGGGGCCGGGAGGCGGCUGAGGAUGGGCGGCGGCGGCGACGGUUUGGCCGGCGGCAAAGGGCGAGGCGGCGCGGGAGCGCUGCCAGUUAGGCAGGGCAAGACCCAGCAGUAAGACUCCCGGUGGGCAGUGCCGGCCGCGGGGGCGAGGACGCCCACCUCGUUAGGAAGGGUGGGGUCGAGAGGGUAGGGGCGGGCGGUGGGCGGGCGGCGCGGCGGCGGCCGCCGCCAGCCGAGGAGGAGGCCGGGGCGGAGGCAGCCGAGAGAUGAACAGUAAGUGGGUCUAAUAGGCCUCCCUCCCCGGUAUACCAGACUUUUCAGGUUUCAGGCUGUCAAGUAUAUCCCGAUGCUCGAUCAGCUCAAAUUAACUUGGUAACUCCAUGUUUCGCGAUCCAUCGAGCACAACCAAAUCUACUUCCCUUAAAAAAAACCCGAAACUGUAUUCCGGCUGUUAAAACUAUCACUACACUGCUGCUUCACGACAUGGUGAAGGCAGUUUUAAGGUCUAAGAUUGUUGAUCUGAAGUCUGAACGGUCUAGCGCUCGAACUCUGAAACUAUGGACUGUAGCUUGGCUAGCAUCAGCAAAUGAGAAUCUCAAACUAAAGCACUACUAACCCAAUUCGGCGAAGCAAAACGUGGCAUCACCAAAACCCAAGAAAAGAACGAGUUGGAUCUAGUGAGAACUGAGAACAACGAGAUACUACUCACAGAGUCACAGUCGCGGCCUCACGGGCAGCGGUGAAGAUUUGCCCCCUUAAGCUUCGUUCGUGAUGACACCGCGGUGGCGGAAACGCCAGUCGCCAUGGCCCAUGGGGCGGAGCGCAGAUGCGCAGCUGGAGCGGGGAGGAUUACCUGUCGGGGUCGAUAAGAGCAGCGCAAGCGAUGAGGGCGGAGCAGGAUGACGAUCCACUUGUAAAGGGAUCAGCGGAACGCGGAAGCUGGGAAUAUGCUACUGGGAUGUGCGGAUGCCCAACGGUCCUCUAACUCUACAUUAUAAAGCGAUGAUACAAAUUUGCAUCGAAGUCGUUGUAGUAUAGUGGUGAGUAUUCCCGCCUGUCACGCGGGUGACCCGGGUUCGAUCCCCGGCAACGGCGCUAUUUUUGUCUUUUUAUUUACACAGCGUCCGUUCCUUUUUUUCUCCUCCCUGGGAAGCUUGACGUCUUCAAUACCUAAGCAUGCCAUGGGGUGAACCAUCGCGGUUUUGCGCUGUACUGACGCGAUAGCAACUCGCACAGGAGAAAACUUUGCCGUGGCUUUCAAAUCUUCGUUUUUCCAAGGGUUCAAACCAACAGCAAUCAUGCCGUCCGGUGCCAGGACGGGAGUACUUCUUCGCUCUUCAAGCUUGAAACGGAAUUUUCCCGCUUUUUAGAUAACCAUGAAAACCCCAGCCAACAAAAGGUCAUGCAGCACCGUCAGUCGAUGGACGACACCACGACAGGACGUCCUCCCAAAAUUGACACCGUUCGCCACUCAGCUCCGCUGCCCAAAAGGUCAAACGGGUGAUCCCGACAGAAGUUUCCCUCGCACCGCUCAAGUGCCAAAUCGUUCCCAGCGCAGCCGAGCUUGAGCAGCCGCUCGGAGCACGAGCAGAGCAUCCCCAUCCCCGCCAUUACUCCCCGCCGUCCCUCUGCCCCGGCAAUAAAUGCAGCCGCUCGAGCCGCGCACCCACCCCCGCCAGAUCUGAACCCCGCGACAAGGCAGGCGAAGGAAGAGAGGAAGGGAAAAAUCUCGCCACUUCACCACGCCACCUUCCCACAUUUACUCCCCUACGCCCCCACCCCACGCGGCAGCGAUUCCACCCGGGCAUCCACCACCACCACCGUGCCGUGCGCACGCUACGCCAAUGCCAUUCCGCCGCUCCAUCGCCACGAGGGACUCGCCGCCGCCGGCACAACCGCAAUGUCCCUCCUUUCCUCGCUGUCCAACCUUGGCCUCGGCUACUCCAUCGCCAUCGCGCUCGGCUUCCUCGUCCUGUUCGCCUCGCUCCUGCUCGCCUCCUACCUGUGCUUCCGCCGCGGCGGCGGGGACUACUGGGCCGGGGAGGCCGCCACCACGGCGUCCAGCUCCGGCCACCUCUCCAUCACCGUCCCGCGCGUGCUCUUCGUCGCGGAGGGCUCCGAGUCCCCCGACGCCGCCUACUCCUCCGCCGCCGCCGCGUCCUGCUCCCCCGUCGGGCUCGACCGGGCCGCCAUCGCGUCCUACCCCAAGGUCCCGUUCUCCAGCAGGGCCGCCGAGCCCGACGCCAUGUGCUCCAUCUGCCUCAGCGAGUACAGGGACGGCGAGAUGCUGCGCGUGAUGCCCGAGUGCAGGCACGGGUUCCACGUCGCGUGCCUCGACGCCUGGCUGCGGCGGAGCGGCUCGUGCCCCGUCUGCAGGUCCUCGCCCAUCCCGACGCCCACCGCCACGCCGCUCGCGACGCCGCUCUCGGAGCUCGUUCCUCUCUCGCACUACGCCGCCGACCGGAGGCGCAGGUGAUGGACGUUGCCACACCGGUGCAACACGGUGCUUGUCACUGCAUUACUCUUUUUUUUCAUCUCUUUACGUUCGAGGAUGUGAAGUUGUGGGUUGCUUUACUGUGGGGUUGUUUUAGGAUAUCUAGAGAAUUGUUUAAUUUGGAAGUCACAAUGAUCUUGAUUAGAUUUUGUAAUGUAGAAGUAGAUGAUUGGAGCAGGGGAUAGUGUAAAUAACAAUACAGAUUGCUUGUUUCUGUGAGUAACCUUCUGGUAAUUUAUCCAAUACUUAUACUUACUACUGAAACUAUGGCCAGAUGGAAUGUAGAGAAUUGGUGUAUGAUGGCUACUUAUGUCACCGAAUGGAACGCAUAACUAUCACUUUUUAUUUUUCAUCCUUUGCUGCAUUGGGGACUUGGAAGAACCUUUGCAUUUACCUGAUCCCAUCAAACUUGCAUUUCGUAUUGGAUUUUUGUAUGUCAAGUAUCCAAGCUAAGCGACAGAUCUUAUAUGAACCUUUAUCAGUAUAGGAAUUUCCUGGGUCCAGGAGACUUUUAGCUCCGCAUGGUUGGUGAGCAGGACCAUCAAUGCCCAUGCGCUAAACGAAUGUUAAUUUGUCUUUUAUCUUCGUUGGCAUGGGGACAUGCGGAGUAUUUGUUAAGGUUGACUGAUUUACUUUAAGGUAAGCUAAUUUUACGGUUGUAAUUUUAGCUCUAAUGUCAGGGUUACUCUGUGGCUCUGUGCACCUCUGGGUAAUAAUCAUCACAAUUAGAAAUAGAUCUCUGUACAUGUUGCUAAACAUACAUGAUACUGGACCUUGGAAGCGGCGAAUUCAAUGUUAAUAUAGUGAUGCAGAAAAUUGGAUCCAACCUACUGUUUUGCUCCUGUUUGAGAAUUCCACUCAUUUUGUUGGCAUGACAUACAUGGUGACUUCUUAUUAAAGCACAUCAUACAUAUCAAAACCAAACUCAGGCUGGUGCCAAUGGGGGGCGAUAUCGCCCCCCUGUCGCCCCAGCCCAGGCGAGAGCGAGGCGAGAGGCAGGCGAGAGGGAGAGAGAAGGCGGUAGCACUACCGCCGGGCGAGAGCGGGCGCUAUCGCCCCGCUCUCGCCCGCGUUGGCAGGCGGUAGGCGGGCGGUAGCAAGGCGGUGCGCUGGCGUCGGGCGAGAGCGGUGGGGCGGGAGUGACGUGGCGCGUUUCUAUUGGUCCACAUGGAGGUUGAAAUAAUUAAAUUUGGAAAAGAAAAUCUGACGUGGAGAAAAAAGAAGUGAGAGCUAGCACUAUAGUGUCUGCAUUGGAGGGGUAGGGUGAGAGUGGGGGCGAGAGCUGACGUGGCGGAGCGCGAGUGAGGCGAGCCACUGGACUCAGCCUCGAAUUGAGGCGAGCCAGUGGACUCACCCUCGUAUUGUUGUAGAUAUUUACCUACGGAGUACUCGAACUGUGUUUGAUUUUUCUUCUCAUGCCAUAAUGACUGAAAAUAAUCUUUUUGUGUACAUAUUAUAAUGACUGAAAAUAAUCUUUUUCGGUACACAUUCAAUUGCGCCUCCCAAUUUCCCUGUCGCAUAUUGUACGUCUGUUGGCAAGUCAGUGUAUCGUGGUACCAUUUGAAGUUGCUUGUGGGCUUGGGGUAGUACUCUAACUGGGUCCACAUAAGAGUGGUACUUACUCAGGAAUUUCAAAAGGCUGAUGUGUUAAUGUAAGGGCCUAGAAACUAGAACUGCAACGGCAAGCAAAGCAUUACUUAUUACUUGCACUAUCAGUAAUUUUAAUACAUUUCCCUAGUCCACCCACCUGCAAAAGUUUUUAACGAGGCGGCGCUUGCUCCCUUUUGUCUUAUGCCCUCAUAAUGAAUUUCUCUUUAGUUACUCCUGUUCCACAAUGCUUGUAAGGCCUUAGAAGCUUGACAGCAAGAAAUUGGAAUUCUGUUGAAGAUGGUACCUGUUGAUAUUGAUGCCUGGGAAGUUCUGAAUUCAACUUUUAUGAUAAUUUGGAAAUGAAUUCUCUGAUGCACUUGUCUUAGCUUCUGAUUCUUGUGGGUGUAUGGUUAAUGCACUUGUUGACUGAUUGUCUGCUUCUGGUUUACUCUUGAAACAAGACUAGCAGCUUCGACACGCUUUCGUAUUUGCAUAUCUGUUCUGACUAAAGUCCUGAAUUUUCAAUCCAUGUACUGUUUCUUUUCUUUUACCUACAUGCUUCAACUUGCACUCAUGGUUGAACUUGACCAGUUAGAUUGUUUACGUUCAUCCGUGAGUUUUGCAUACCCUUUUGAUCCCACUGUGAGCGCAAAACGUUUCUUACAAAUGUUCAAAGACAUGUUUAUAACGUAGAAACAGUAUAUGUUACAAUUCCUGUAGGAGCUAGGAAAAAUAUUGUUUUCAGCACGUUUUAGAGUCUAAUGAUUCAGCGAUUCCUGUGCUUGUACUGAAAAUCAAAUUGAUCUCUUAACAUUAAAUGUCAGAAUAAAUGGUGUGCUACCAUAAUAACUGGAUAAGCAGGGUUGCAGGAGCAGACCAGAAAUUGAGGAAAUAAUGGUAAGUCCAUGCUGAAGUAUUAUUUGCUAAUGACCUGCUGAGUGAACAGCCACUUGUACAGCAAGGAGCUGCUCUCGCCGUGGCUGGCACGACUUGGCUGAAGACCCUCGCAGUCGCAGUCAUUGGAGCGAAGAGCAAAAGGUGGAAUAGUGGAUGAUGGAGAGCAGGAAGCUGGCAUUAUCACGCCGGAGAAAUGGCGAGCAGUAUGAGGAUGCAGGCAACCGAGCGUACAGGCGUACGGUGUACGACAUGCAUGACGAACUGGCUACCUCCGGAAUACGCGUCUCCAUCAUGCACAAUGAGAGCAGGUGAGCAGGAGCAGCAGGGGGGACGGUGCUAGCGACUGGGCGAGCACGGGCACGCGCACAUGGGCGGGCACUGGAGGAGGGCAGGGCAGGGCAGGGCACGACAUUGAACCGGGGCUGGAACGGCCGUCGCCCAGCGGGGCAAGCAGGUCAGGGCUGUUUUCUAGUGUGGGUGACUGGCGGCACGCUGCAAUGGCUGCAUGCAUGAUGCUUGUACUCUUGUAGCAUAUGGAACAGAUCUCCAGCUGCACGAUCUGGACGGAUUUGGAGAGGACGAACCAAAUUGGGGGAAGACGACGGAUGCGUGCCGAUUUGUUUUGCGGAAGGGAGAUUGUUUUACUCGCUGCGGACGAGGCCUUUCGUUUCUUUGCGAGGAUUGUUUAGACGAUGCUCUGGCGACGCCGAACAAGCCUGGCUUGCAGGAAUUCAGUUCAGAAUGACGCCCUCUUGCUAAAGAAUCUUCACAGGUUCUUCGAUACAGAAAUGGUCGUUUACCAAGCACAGCCAAGAUGGUGGUCUUUCUGGUAGCGUGGCGUGACAUUCUCAAGUUGCUGUACUAAUACAAAGGCUUAGCCACAGUCGGUUUCACCUCGAAUUCGCGCAGCGGCUUCCACAACAACGGCGAUUGCCGAGUCUGUACGUCGCACGCCGCCGCAACCGACAGCACACCUGGCUCCGGAGAGAAGAAGGUGCGUGAUCAACUUUGGGCCUCAAAAGCCUUGGCGCGGAAAUGGAUGCAAUCUACGGCCCGUCGCCGUCCGGAGAGACAAACAGAAGACAUUUCAUGGUGAAAGCUCUCCCGCGCCUCUCAUGGCGGAGUUAACGACCAGCAUCGCAGCCUGGUCCAGGGGAGUUUCCGCUCAAGCGCACGGCAUCUCGCUCGGCUCGGACGCGCGGCUUGUUGCGGGAGCAGCGGCGUGCAGACCUCGUGAGUGGGAAGACGGAAGGUGCUGAGGGAGGGAUAUGCCUUUGCGCUUCCGCUGGAACGGAAACAUGGGGAAGGACGGCGGCGGCGGCGGCGCCCGUCGUUGGGCAGGCCGGAGGUGGAGCAGUCAGAAGGGGUUUAGUGAAAAUAUCCGAUCUAUCAUUUUACAUAUGGACCCCUAAUCAAACCAGGGGGUUUAAGAAAAUGUCCGAUCGAAAUUUUACAAAAGGACCCCUGUUUCGAUCGGGGUUGGUUCCCCCAUACUUCAGGGCGGCGGCGCGGCUCGUGCCCGCAUCGUGGAGAUCUAUCAUACUCACCCGCUCAUAAGGAGCCAGGCACCCCGCGCCGCACCGCUCGCAUUCCCAGAUCCUCCACAGUUGCCGUCGUGGCGGCGCGACGGGAGCGAUGUGGCCGGAGACGGCGAAGGAUCCUGCUACGAGCGGAUGGCCGUGUUUCCGACUUGCGCUUGCUUUGGCACCCUCGCCUCGUCGGCGCCGCCCGUGCUCGCGUCCUCCAGCUCCAGCUCGUUGUUGGUUUAGGAGAAAGUGCUUUGUUGCAAGCUUGAAGCUUCCAUCUCCUCGCAUUGAAGCUUCCAUCUCCUCGCAUUUUGCAAUCGCGUGAAGGAUGCGCUGGAGAUAUCCGGAGGUACAACUUGCAAGAGGGCUAGUGAUGUACUGAAACUGAAUGUAUUAGCUUAUGAAGGCUGAGAAUACACAAUUACACAUACAAAGUUACAAACUUCAUGGCUUGGUUUUGUCAGCAGGUUUCGAUGAGGCUGAGGUUCAUUUGCCUUUAUCAGCAGGAGCUAUAUGCUCACUCUUUCAUUUGCCUUUAUCAGCAGGAGCUUUUCAGCAUUUUUCAGGUGCGUGCAAACCAGCUUGAAUCUUUUGAGCAGCAUGUGAACAGAAAAAAAACAUAGGAAUUUAUCCUAGCAUUUCUCAUCUCCUCUGCAAUGUUCAGCAGUAACUGGAAUCGACGGUACAAAGGCAAUUACUUUUACCAGGUAACAUGGGCAAUGAGAGAUAUUAGUGGUAUGUCUAAUAACAGUCUGUUGAACAUUCUGUAAACUGUAACCUUCUUAUCUGAAAUUGGAACACCGAGAUUGGUGUACUUGAAACAUAUUUGAAGUCUUAAUCCAUGUAAGUUUUUCCAAUUUCGUAAAUUAAUAAUCAGUAUAAAAAAAUCAGAGAUCAAUUACAGUUUCAGUAGAGCUAUGCCGGAUUUGGAUUGAACAAAAAAUGUUUGGCUCUCUAAGCUACAUUAGAUAACAUGCCAUUCUUAUCAUUGUUCGACCCGUGAUUAUAUCUAGCUCUAGUAAGUAAAGAUUUGGGAAAAAGAGAAUGCAAACUUGAUACCAGCAAUUGGGCUUCCUGAAUGCCAAAGCUGAACUUUUCAAAAAAAAAAAAAGCCGAAGCUGACUCUGACUUUCAUGUCCUGCCCCAGCUAUUUCUGCUUCUUGCAGAUGAACAAUGACAGCUCGAAAGAAAAAUUUUGACACCCAAACACAUCAAAUUCUUUGUAUCCUGUUAAUACUGAGCCUUAAGAGUUAGUCAGCUAGUUAUGGAUAAAAAGAAAAGAAAAGUGAUGGGAGAUGGUAAAAAAGACGUCUUUUAAGUAUUUUGGGCCUGUAAAGGGCCAUGAAAAGACUCGCGGUUUCUCAUAAAAAAAAUUAGAUAACCAUUGGUCCAAUUAUCCCAACACAUUUAGAAUGGCACUACACCACCGAGCAUAAUUAUACAUCACUUGUGAUGAAAUCAGAACCCAUCGCCUGAAGCGGCCACAAACGGUCCAGAACCAUCUUCUUCCUCCUUGCGCCGUUCGUCGCCCCGCUCGCCCCAACCCCACCCUCCGCCUUCGUCUCCAGUGGCAGGAGCCGCCGGAUUCGCCGCCGUCGACCGCCGCCAUUGGAGUUGGAGCUGCUCGCCCACGCGCCGCCGUCGGGGUUGCUCACCCCCACACCGCCCUCCACCAUCGCCUCUACCGCUCCCGCCGUCGAUUGUGCCGCCACCAACCCCCGCCGCCCAAACCUACCUCCGUUGAGCGCCAGGGGAGCUCGCCGUGACUCCCCCGCUGCCUCCGCAGGCCACCGGAUAUCCUCCAUGGCCCGCGGCCCGCGGUGUCCGCCGCCUCGUCCACAGUCCGUCACCACCGCCCGCUACCAUGCUGCCGCCGACCUCCUUUUAUGGCCGGGCACGCAGGAGACAAGCCGGCCCCGGCAAUCUGAACUCCUGAACCGUAACCCUAAUACGACAGCGAGCGGAGGAAGACGAGUGGAUGAGGAAGAAGACGCAGCACGAGAGGAGGAAGAAGGCUGUCGUGGGCUGCGGAAAUUGAAUUGGGCCGGAUUCAACUCACUUCAUGUGAUGGCUCGCGCGUUUGUCGCGCGAGCGGUGUGUAGCCACGGCGCUACACCACCUGUGAACUUAACUGAAACAAAGCUCGGGAUGUAGAGCCGGCAGUAAACAGAGACAGACCAGAACGAUCAAGCUCCAGCAACAUAGAAAUCCUGUGGGAUUACCCCAUGGAGCUUCCUUGAGAAGAUCUCCGUUUGUCGCGCGAGCGGUGUAUAGCCACGGCGCUACACCACCUGUGAACUUAACUGAAACAAAGCUCGGGAUGUAGAGCCGGCAGUAAACAGAGACAGACCAGAACGAUCAAGCUCCAGCAACAUAGAAAUCCUGUGGGAUUACCCCAUGGAGCUUCCUUGAGAAGAUCUCAGUUUGCAGCUCGUUUCAAAUGUGUCAGAACUUGUGGUUUCAGUUCCACAAUUGUAGAAUGUUUUAUCGCUCAAUGUUAACUUUUUGCAGGUUGCCCUUAUGUGUAAUAACAGUUAGCUUUAAAACUGGCGGCAGGCACAUGUGGAUAGCGAUGAUUCAGCUUCUCUCUGUCGCUUCACACCGCUGAGCUAGAGCUCCCAUCAGCGGUGGCAUUUGAUUUAGAGUUUAGGGUUGAGAGGUCGAGUGCGGAAGGGUUCUCCUCUCCCUCGAAUCAUAGAAGCUACGCGGAAUUGAGGUCAGUUUGGUGGAAGUGGCAGGUGACUGAUAGCCAAGAAAGACGGUGCGUGCGUGGUACGCGGCCACCAAGGCGACAGUGGACUGGCGCUUGAGAGUGGGUCAUGGGCCCUUAUAGCUUUUCUGCGAAGCGAUUCUCUAAAAAAUCCUGCUAUGGUAAGAAUCCGCUGCCUACAGAAUCUGCUGGCAUAAGAAGCUGAGAGUUUGGCAACCUGAUUUUCUUAUAAUUGAUUAUCUGCACUGUGUGUGUAAUGACACAUAUACCUCUGACACAAACAAUACCUUAUUUGGUGGCAGAAUAAGCAUAGAAUGAAGUAAUCCAAUAAUCACACUAAUUUCUUAUAUUACAAGAGUGGCUAAAUUUGAAUCAAGACAUAAUUUAUCAUUGCUAGCCUAUUAAAACUCUUUUUUCUCUCUCCAAAACAAUAAAAGCAACUACUUGUGUAAAUUAACUACUUGUGGCAAAAUAAGUAUAGAAUGCAACAAUCCAAUAACAUAGCAUUCAUGUAAACACAGAAUUCAUGUGAAUCAUGAGAAAAUUAUGUUGGAGCAGACCGGCAGCAGAGCUCGUGGCGGAGCAAAACGGGCCGGCGGAGAUUGCGGCGGAGCAGAUCAGGCCGACAGAGAUUGGGGCGAAGCAUAUCAGGGUGCGCGACCGAGUUUCGAAGGCGGCGUGGCUGAGGUCUGGCUGUGGCGAGCCCGAGCGGCGCUGCAGGCAAGAUUAGGGCAGCGGCGCAGCCGAGAUCCGCAGCCAACGGCUCAGGCCGGCGUAGGGAGGAAGGCGGUAUGUGGGGGACAAGAUUGGCGGUGGGCGGUGGAGAGGAGGGGGGAGGGCGGUGGGCAGGGGAAAGGAGGGGGCCGAAACCGUAGACCGUCUUUAUAUUCGAUGGCAUUUUGGUUGUAAUUUUGAUGAAGUUCAGGAGUUUUUUCAUAAUGAACAUUUGAUGGCAUUUUGGAUAUAAUUUUGAUGAAGUUCAAGAGCUUUUUCAUAACAAACCCCACCGAAUCAGCGGUAUUUUACCUCAAGCGGUGGGAGGACCAAUUCCUUACGUCAGUUAUUUUCCCUUGGAGAAUCGUUUCUAGUGGAAUCGACGUAAAAUCGCAGCGUUUAGCGGGGGUUGUUGAUUAUUUUUUCCUAAGAAUCAAUCUAGAAUCGGAAACAAGCACGGCCAAGGUCCUUCAGUCCGUGGUGGCGGCGGAGGGUGUGCAGCGAGAUGGUGUUGGCAGUUGGCACCGGUGGCGGCAAGCAACGGAGGUGACUAGACUGAUCCGGCGACGUCACAUUCAGACAUUCAGAGUUGGUUGAUUUGAGGAUGCUCCUAGGACUGGUUGUUAUGGCACCACUGUUUUUUACAUCUGUCCUUUCUGAAUGAAGAAAUGGUUAGCAAGGUAAUUGUUUCUGAGAGGGAUCAAUAAACCCAUGGAAAAACAUGCGGCGUUAGAAAAAGGAACUCUGACAAAACAUGGUGGGUAGCCUACCAUGUACCAAGUACCACAGUCGAUAUAAAGGACACGGAUUAGUUGGUUUGCUCUCUUUCAUGCCACUGUGUCAGUGUCACAGACACGCAGCAGACAGAAACUACUCUGAAUCGAAGCUGAUUGAAUACGGCCUGAACUUGUAGGUAUCCUCUCAUCAGAAUUUAGAAAAGCACAUAAAUACACAAGCCGUUGAGCAUCAAGACAGACGUUUAUGAUAGUCACUCUUCUGUAACCAAAAAAAUGUACUUGUUACUUGUAUACAGAAGGAGAGGGGAGAAAGGCAAAAGAAGCACAGAGCUAGACAGCUAGUAGCAACAAAAAUAUAUGAAUCCAUGGAGGUGGCUAACGACCUUCUAACCGAAAUGAUCAGCUGACGUUUGCAACGCAGGUGGUGGAUUUGCUCUGCACGGUGGUGAAGGCCCCCACCUCCAGCGUGAUGGAGCAGUUCAUCUUGAUGUCGAGGUCCCUCUUGUAGAUGCCCAGCACGCUGACCCUCCCGGCUAUCUCCGUGUAGCUCGUGAGGUUGUAGUCCUGGCCGAAGAUGAGGUCGGUGGCGUUGACGUUGGGCGAGAUGCGGUCGGCGAGCACGUCGAGCGUGACGUUCAUGCGCACGGUGCGGCCGGCGCCGACCUCGCCCCCCGGCGCGUACGCCACGCCCACCGUCUCCCCGGCGUAGUAGAAGUCCGUCUCGCUGCGGCCGAACCGGAAGGAGGCCGCGUUGGGGUUCUCGAUGGAGACGUCGGCGCUGAGCGUGGCGUUCACGGACACCGGGUGCCCCGCCGCGGUGCCCAGGUCGCCGUCCACGCCCUCCAGCGUGACGCCGUUCAUGGUGAGGACGGGGUCCCGGACCUUGAACACGGUGAGCGCGAGCACGAGGGCGGCGAUGCCCAGGAGGACCACGGCGGCGCCGCAGCAGCCGCAGCACCAGAGCGCGCACCGGCGCUUCCGGAGGUACUGCGCCGAGCGCCAGCGCUUGGAGGAGGUCGCGACCUCCUCGUCCCCGGCGGCGCCGUCGGCCGCGGCAGGGUAGACGGUCGGGGACGCGGUGGCGAGCGGCCUCGUCGGCGGCUCCUCUUUCCCCGCCUCGGUGGCGGCGUUGUUGUACGGCCCUGCGGUGGCGGUCGCGGUCGCCAUGGGGUAGGGACUGGGAGGGGAGAGCAGAGGAGGCGCUGGCGAUCAAGCGUGCGGGACGUGAGAAAUCUUGAUGCUGGGUCGCGAAGCUCUUAUACGGUGGAUUCUCGCACGGAAGGCACAAAAGUUCUCGCUGUGGCGGGCCGCCGUGCAUCGCGUACGUGUUCUUCGCGACGGAGCCGGACAAACACGUCGGCUUGACUUCCGCCAGUUCGCCGCCGCUUGAACUAUGUGUGUGGACUGCACCACCAAUAAAUGGGCCGUGCAGGUUUCCGCUGACACAAAUUGACUCCCGGGCAUUUGCCGUUGCCACCUGCGUGUUUUUUUUCCCUCUCGAGAUAUGAUAGAACACGAGAGUCAAGUAGUCAACCUCGCUGCUUGUAAAAAAAAAAACAAAAACUCGCUGCUUGUUUGCGUUUACUUGUUUCUAGGCCUCCCAUGGAGGGGGUGUUUCCUGGGUCUUCUAAUGCCAUUUUGUUUAAAUGAUUCUCCCCUCUACAGAAGUGGCGUAUCCUGCUGAAGCCUGCUGAGCAAUCGCUACUGGAUGAGAAGACUCAGAAGCUCAAGUUCUGGCUUCAGGAGUUUGAUGGGAGGCCGAGAAAGGGUGACAACAUGGAAGACCUGCUUUAGAAAAUCAGUCUUUUUCCUUUUAUCUGUCUCUGUGUUUGUUGCGCACAGUAGUAGGGUUUUUCCCUGGUAGUUCUGUUCUGGUCGACAAUGUUUGCUGGUAACCCCAGCGUGUGUCGUGCUUGAGUCCCUUUUGGGGCUUGUAUCGAAUUAUAUGCUUUCUUAUAAGCAUGGGUAAUUCUUUUUCGAAAAAAAAGCACCAGGUAUUUUUUUUCCUCUCUCGCGAUACUGCGAUAGAAAGGGCUGCAAAUUGGCAUGCUUCAUGAAGGUAGACCGGGACGAUUUGGUCGUGGAAGGCAUGAGGCUUUCGUCAACAGAACUGCUGUCGCGAGGCCUUUAAUCAGUUUAAGUGAGCGAUCGAAUUUGACGACCUCGCGCACUUGACCUGGUAUAUCGUGAUCAGCUAAGUACAUUAUUUCGCGAAUCAUAGGCAUGUCUCCUCUCUGCAGCAGAUUUGCCAUGUGGAUGCGUGUGCAAAGAAACGGAAGGCAUGGAAUCCCACGAGUCCGAGGUCCCGGGAUGCGGCCUGCCAGAACGCAACGACUCCAUCGCAGAGAGAACAACGACCCCGUGUCAAGAACGCGAUCGAGAUCCGGAUGGAAACCGGCAGCCGCAUCGUUUUGCACCCCUGCAGUUGGGCCGCCUGAUCCCUGUGGUGGAGAUCGCCGCCUCACCGGGCUCUUCCUCCGCCGACCGAGGCUUCGCCCCGCCGUCCCCAUCAUUAAAGAUGGCAACACGUAAAAUUCACGUGGAUAUACGCUUCGUGAAAAAAAAUUUAAAUUUGCAUCCACGCCUGCUACCCGUUACAGGUAGAAAAUCAUACCCAUACCUACUAUCUGUGAGUGCCCCAUGCCCGCGGGCACGCCUGUUUACCCCGCAUGCCAGGGGCCCGGGGUGCCAGGCAGCUAGGGCGCGAGCAUGGGCACAGCGAGAUCUGGAGGGAGAGGGAGUGGACGGCUGGUGGAGGACUGUAGAGAGGCGGCGCGCAGUAGGACCGGAGGAAGGGGCCGGGCGGGAGCGGGAGCGGGAGCGGGAGCGGCGCGCGAACUACAAGGGCACCGACGUCGCCGUGGGCGCGCGCAAGGGCGAGGCCCUGAGCCCUAGGCGUGCCGACCGGUCGGUGCAUGGGGAGAAGCCGAGGAGGAGGGGCGGCGCUCAGGGAGGAGGACGGGAGCGACAAUGCAGAAGGGGCAAAAUCGGGGGAGGGAGGGGGCAGUCGGGUGGGAGGCUGGGUGGUGGCGGCUAGGAGUGGGAUUUGGGAGCUAGUUGGAGAAAUGGGAAGAAAAUACUAAAGAUUCUUUAUAUAUACGGAUGUUUGGGUGCAUAUGUCAGCAGAUUUGGCGAGUUUAGGUAUCAAUUUUAUAUACCCGCUAGUAGAUGUAUGUUAGGUUUAGUGUUAUACCCGCGUCCGUAUCCACGGGCACAAACUUAGACCCGUAUUUAUGCCUACCGAGUUUAUUAUCCAUAAGAGCGGGGGGCGGCAGGGGCCAUGGCCCCCUGGUGAUCUAGAUAAACAAGCUUAGAUUACUGAUUUAGACUAAUCAUGAAUUAUUUUGAUCUCUAUUUUAAUAAUUAGGACUUCUAAUCAUUAGAACCAAGCACUGUUAGAUUUUUAUAGAUAUAAUGUCAUGUUCUGCUAUCCUACUUACCAUAUAUUUAAUUUAUUUUUUCUAUAGAUAAGCUACACGUUAUGCUAAAAUUGUGACUGACGUAGCUUUUUACUGACCAGAUACUGUCUAUAAUAUUCAUACAUAGGUAUGCGGAUAUUUCGACAUGUUUAGCCCCCACGCCCACAUCCGCCACCGCCCGCCCCGCCUCUUUUCAAAGCAUGGUCGACGCGCUCCGGCUGUGCGAGCCAUCGCCUCGCGCGCUCCUCCGCUCGUUGAGCUCCGCACGCCCCCCGCGUACUUCUACUACAACCACCAGCGCCUUGGCUUCCUUCCUCUGCCUACCGUACCAGUGCUCCGCCCCACCCCACGAGGCGCUCCUUCACUUCCCCCGGCCUUCCGCCGAUCUCGGCGCCGGACAUGCCAUUCUCAGCGCCGGCCUUCCCCUGGCCUACCGCAUUUUACUUCCGCUAGCAUAAAUAGUUGCAACAGCCGUCAAUUUUGUUCCGCUCUAGCGAUGAUUAGCAAUGCUCAAGUGAGAUUAUGCCCGCGCAAAAAAAUCUUCCGUAAUGACUUUUUUGACUCGUGUGUGUUAUGGGUCUUCACCUGGUUGCAUAGGGCGACGCGUAGCAUCAGCCCUAUUCCCCUCGAGACACUUGGCAGCUGACAGAAUGACAGCAGCUUCAUACGUUCAGUACCGCUCUCCGAGUAUGCGCAGCAUGAGGCGAUUGUGCUUGUUUAGCCUUCUUCAAGCUAUGAUACCUGAACAUGCGUGCGUGUACGGAUCAUGGCCCAAUGGAUGGUCCUGAAGAGAUCAUUUAACGUUUAACCCCCGUGUCGGGGCUUGAUUGAUUGACCUACUGACGGUGAACAUGGCGAUGAUUUUCUUCAUUGAUUUGCCGUGCAAGACGAUGGGGGUAGGUAGGACUCGUGGUCCAAAAUGAAGCCCGUAAAGGUAUAAACGGAAGCAAAGGUCACGGCGCCGUGCAAUACAACAAGUCACAACAGCAUUCGCGCCAUCUUCUCGCUCAAGCAAACCCCCGGGCAGCAGCUCGCGGCCACCGGACAGAAAUGGCGAGCCACGGCGAGGAGGCAAAGAAGCAUGUGGUGAUCUACGCCCCGGCGUCGAUGGUCAACAACAGCCACCUGGUCUCCAUGGCGGAACUCGGCGAGCUGCUCGCGGCGCGCGGCCUCGAGGUCACCGUCGCGCUCGGCGGGCGGACCGACGACGAGGCCGCCGAUUCAUUCGCUGACGGCGCCGCCGCCGCGCACCCCGCGCUCUCCUUCCGCCGCCUCCCGCCCGUGACGCGCCCGCGCGACGUGCCCGCCCACGACCACGUGGCGCUGGCCUUCGAACUCGCCCGCGCCUCCAACCCCGACCUCCGCGAGUUCCUUCGCGCCGCCUCCCCGUCCCCGGCCGCCCUCGUCCUCGACUUCUUCUGCGGCAGUGCCGUGCACGUCGGCGCCGAGCUCGGCAUCCCGACCUACUUCUUCUUCACCUCGUCCAUCUGCAUCCUGGCGGAGUUGCUGUACCACCCCGUGAUCCAUGAGCGGACAACCGUGAGCCUCCGAGACCUCGGUGGCGAGCGUCUAAACUUUCCGGGCAGCCCCGAGAUACCCGCGGAAGACCUCCCCGCGGCAUACCUCGACCGCGACGGCCUCACCCACAGGCUCUUCCUCGCCCUGUCCGAACAGAUGUGCGAAUCCCACGGCCUUAUCGUGAACAGCUUCCGCGCGCUGGAACCGCGCGCCACCGACGCCAUCGUGAACGGCCUCUGCACGCCGCCGGGGCGUCGGACGCCACCGCUGCACUGCGUCGGCCCACUGACGAAGCUGGACAAGGCCGGCGCGAACCGGCACGAGUGCCUGGCGUGGCUCGACACCCAACCGGAAGCCAGCGUCGUGUUCCUCUGCUUCGGCACCAUGGGCCGGUUCAGCGCGGAGCAGGCGAGGCACGUGGCGCGCGGGCUGGAGACGAGCGGGCAGCGGUUCCUGUGGGUCGUGCGCCGCCCGCCCGGCGAGGACGGCGCGGGGAAGCCGGCGGAUCCCGACCUGGACGCGCUCCUCCCCGACGGCUUCCUGGCCCGCACCAAGGGCAAGGGGCUGGUGGUGCCGUCGUGGGCGCCGCAGCGGGAGGUGCUGGCCCACGCCGCGGUUGGCGGGUUCGUGACGCACUGCGGGUGGAACUCGGUGCUGGAGGCGAUCGUGGGCGGCGUGCCGAUGCUGGCGUGGCCCAUGUACGCCGAGCAGCGGAUGAUCAAGGUGUUCCUGGUCGAGGAGCUGCGCCUGGCCGUGGCUCUGGAAGGGUACGGCAAGGAGGCGGUCAGGGACGAGGAGGUGGCUGCCAAGGUGAGGUGGCUGAUGGAGUCGGACGGCGGCAGGGAGCUCCGGGAGCGGACACGGGCGGCCAUGCGGCAGGCGAAGGCGGCGCUGAGCGACGGCGGGGAGUCGAGAACAGCGCUGCUGGAGCUCGCAAGCCAGUGGAAAAGGUGAAAGUUACUACUUGCCAAAUGGGCAUGGACGGCGAGUCGAGUCAAAAUUCAGAUACAAUAAAAAACAUGAAUAAGAGCCACGGAUCUCAAAAAUCAAAAUUCAGGUGAACGGGAACUUGGACUUUGCCAUCCUUCUCCUGCUCAGCAUCCGAACGAUCUUGUGUCACGAAACAUGAAUAAGAAAGUUGCAACACUGUAUCCAGAAAAUGCACAUUCCGACUGCACGGGGGACACGAGAAAGAGAAACGCAGCGCUCGUGUCGGACUGGAACUCUGCUCCUGUGCGUGGCCUCGUCUGAUCCUUUCAAUCGUGGGCCGAAAUCUCCAGGCCGUUCAUGAAGUCAACGAGCGCCGCCGUCGACGACCCGCCGAUCUCCAGCGCGGCGGCGGCCAUAUCCUUCGCCACCGCCGUCCUCUCCCUGAGCUCCUUCCCCUGCCGGGACUCCAUGACCAGCCUGACCUUGGCCUCCACCUCCUCCGCCUUCACCACGGCCUCGUCGUAGCCCUCCAUCACCACCCCCAGCUCCAUCCCCUCCGCGACGAACACCUUGUUCAGCCGCUGCUCCGCGUACAUCGGCCAGCACACCAUCGGCACCCCCGCCGUGACCGCCUCCAGCGUCGAGUUCCACCCGCAGUGCGUCACGAACGCGCCCGUCGCGCGGUGCCGCAGCACCUCCACCUGCGGCGCCCACGCCGGCACCACCAGCCCGCGCCCGCGCGUCCUGUCCAGGAACCCCUCCGGGAGCAGCGCCUCCAGCGCCGCCUCGCCCCGGCCCUCGAACCGCUUCGUCGAGUCGGCGUCGGGCGCGACGGGCGCGCGCACGGCCCAGAGGAACGCGUGCCCGCACCUCUCGAGCCCCGCCGCGAUCUCCCUCAGCUGCUCCGCCGGCACUGAGCUCGCGCUGCCGAAGCAGAGGAAGACCACGCUCCGCGGCGGCUGCGCGUCCAGCCACGUCAGGCACUCGUGCUUCCCCUCGCCUCCCCUCUCCUCGCCGACCAACGGCCCGACGCAGAACAGCCUCGGCACGGGCUCGCCGGGGCGGGGGCUCCCCUCUUGGAUCGCCUUCACGGCGCGGGGCUCCAACCACUCGAACGUGUUCACCAGUAUCCCCUUCGCUCUGGGCAGCUGCUCAAAGAGACAAAUGGUGGCCUCGUACUGCUCGUUGCGAGGACCAAGCAGGACCUCCGGCAAGUCGGAGGCCGGGACCGGGUGGACGCCUGGGAAGUGCAGCAAGGAGCGCCCCAUGUCCCCGAACGAGACGUCGGGCCGCAUGACGGGGAUGUGCAGGUAGGCAGCGAGCGGCGAGGCGCCCGACGUGAAGAACAGGUAGGCCGGGAGUCGGAGCUCCUCAGCGGCGUCGAGCGCGCACCCGCAGAAGAAGUCGAUGACGAGCGCCUUGACGGACGGGAGGGACCGCACGAACGCGAGGAGCGCGGGGGUGGUGGCUCGGAGGUCGGCGAUGAGCGUGAUGAAGGGGUCGGCAUCGGGGUCGGCCUCGUCGCCGGAGCGGGCGGUCGCCGGCGGGAGCAGGUGGAAGGAGACGGACGGGUAGGAGGCGGAGAGGCGCUCGACGGUCUUACGGGAGUCGCCGGACGACGGGACGUCGGCUAUGGCGACGGUGACGGGGACGCCGUGGCCGGCCAAGCGGCCGGCGAGCUGAACCAUGGGGUGGAGGUGGCCCCGAACCAUCCAUGUGUACAGCACCACGGCGCUGCCCAUUUGCUGUAUGUGGCACUGAUCUAUGUGCGCUCAGAUCAAUGGGGGAGUAUAUAUGGUGGCUGAGUGGAUUGUUGCCUGAUGUUUCGUGGUGUGGUCGUUGCUCUGCUAGCAGACGUGCAGAACAGCAGCAGCCAGAAGGUGCUGCAGGGACUUACGCAACUUUGUUGACAAUAAGAGGCGGGUAAGGGCCCGUUCGUUUCCGGCCUCUAAACCCCGAAACCUCUAAACUUUAGAGGUUGGGAUCCAAACGGCCCACUAGACGCGCUCCGAUGGCCAGUUUAGAGGUGGAGAAACUUUAGAGCCCGCGAGCACUCUAACGGCCUCUAAUCCGCUCGCUGCAGCUCACCUUUCCCAGCGCUGCCCCCCACCCCCCCGCGCCGCCGCCCCCUGCUGCGCGCCGCCGCCCCUGCUCCCCCCGCGCGAAGCUACCACUAGUCCGUCCCCAACCGGAUCCCCCGAUUCCCCCCGCAACCGCGUCGGCGAUGGCAUCCACGGCGUCCACCGGCGCCGGUGCCGGCGACGGCGAGAAGCCCUACGCGCACCUCGCGAGCCCGCUCCUCGCGCUGCCGCAGCCCCCGCAGCAGCCGCCUCCGCCGGUGCUCGUCCGCCUCCGCCGCCCGCUCCCCGGUGCUCGUCCGCCUCCGCCGCCUGCGCCCGCGCCGCGGGCGGGGCCUCUGUCGCGCCUGCGCCCGAACCCUCCCGCUCCUCCUCGCCCUCGCGCUCCUAGCCGGCGCAGCCUUCCUCCUCUACCCCUCGGCCCCCGCCGCGCGUGUCGAGGGCCUCCGCGUCGACCGCUUCCGCGCCGACCCGCCCGCGCUCGACCUUGGCCUCGCGCUGCGGCUCCGCGUCCGCAACACGGGCUUCGUCCUCCCGCUCCGCUACCGCGCGAUCUCCGCCGCCGUCUCGUACCGCGGCCACCUGCUCAGGUCCGCCCAGGCGCGGCCAGGGUCCGGCGAGCUCGCGGGCAGGGGCGAGGUGUACGUGGAUGCUGAGGUGUGGGUGGAUAGGGGGUAAAACUGUAAAUUUACUCACUUUAGAGGGCUGUAACGAACGCCUCUCUAAAUACCUCUAAAAUAUUUAGACCUCUAAUUUAUAGAUCUGUAUUUUAGACCCCUCUAAUACGAAACGAACGCACCCUAAGACUGAAGAUUUGCCACCUUUAUCAGCCGAAAGGGAAAAUGGAUGGAGAGAUCAUGGACAAAUUGUAAUCGCUGCCACUGCAACAGCUCUGACGGUGGAACGACCGCCUGGGCCUCGGGGCAGGGACACGGUGACUCGAGGUGGUAUGUCUGUCCUACGUGGGAGAUAGGCUGCCUGUAGACUUUGGAGUUUGGAUGCCAGGUGUUACAUGAUACUUGAGGUAAUGAUUUUUCUGGUUUCACCUCCUCAGUUAAAGUUGGUUUAGCGUUUCCUCACAUCAUAAUUAAUUAGUCUGCAAGACAAAAGAAGGCAUUGCGAUUAGGAAAAGAUUACAUCAAUCCUUGCACUUGAUCCGUACAUCACUCUGCAUUUUGUAAUUGCCUAAAACUCAAGCAAAAAGUAAGUGGAGGGUUCAUUCGAAGAAUGGAUGCUUACCAAGCAACCGCAAGAUUGAAGGAUUGGAAGAUGAACUGAACCCAUCCAAUGCUCAAAUGUAACUGAACUGACUCCAAUGUAAUCUUGCCCCACAAAUCAAAUUAUUUCUUCUUAUGAAAAAUGUAAUUCUUCCUUGCUGUAAUUUUAUCGCUGAGUGACAUGAACAUAGUCGGAACAAAAUGAUCUUUUGACUUUUGGAACUGAAGAAGCCAUCAUCAGGAAGAUAUACUUUUGCAUCAUCUGGUCUGCUUGAGCACUCAUUGUCUGAGGAAAUUCUGCUGAACACAUCUGCACCUGAGCUCUCAAUUACUGUCCCUGCACAUGCCUGUGCUUUCUGGUACUACAUACGGAGGCUACUUGGUACACGUAACUGAAAACCAUGAUUAGCAUCUGUUUGAAGUAUUCAAGGUGAAUGCAUAAAUAACAUAAAAUUUAGCUUGCAUUCAAUUAAAUGUGUAUUUUUAAUAGUAUAUAUAAUGAGAUGCCUAUCAAGUUCGUCUGGCCUCUCGUGAUUUUUUCCUGGUUCCACCAUUGUACACUUACACAAACUCACACCUAUAAACUUAACACAUAUAUCCUUACCUUUAUAAGCACCUCCAAGAGUGGUAUGGUAGAUAUUUAAAUUGAUGAAGUAGCCACAAAUGUCUUCCGGUCAACCGACAUGUCGCCUAUAGCUGAAGAAGUGAAAAUACAAGCACACAUGCUGAGUUGGAGAGUCAAAACAAAAGAAUUCCACCACAAGGAAUCUCACAUUUGGUUCAUGGUCUUGCUUCUCCGUGCAAUGCAUAUUCUUGUGAAUCAUAAACACUUCAUGAAAUUGUUUGGCUAAUUCGGUAUAUUUUGAUUAUUGAAAGAAUGCUCGUGAGACAAGUUGAGAUAAUUGAUUCGAUAAACACGUAUUGGGUGAUUUUACUAGUAGUAGUAAGAAAAAAGAAACACUUCUCUUAGUUUCUUGAGGGGACUAGGGACUGGUUUCUUGAGGUGCCAAGCAAGGACUUAGUAAGAAAAAAGUUAGUAUUUUUGUGAAAAAAGAUAAAAGGAAAGAGCUAAACCCCCUCAACAAUGUCCUAGAUAUUAGCAUCCAUUUCAGAAGCCAUCAUCCGUUUAUCUAUUACAUUUUAGAUAAAUGAAUAGUAAAUAUUUUGACCUCUACAAGAAUACCCGGCCAUUAUUAAAAAAAGGCAGCACCCUUCAAUACAAAAACCAAACAGAUUGAAAGCAAAGCCUAACUAUCUAUUACAUAGCAUCCAUCACUUGCAUUCUUCAUUCUAUAUAUAUAUGUCGAUCUUUCAUAAACCCCACAAAAACUCGCCAAGUUCGACAUAAGACGACCCGCCUUCUUUGAUGGCAUGUGCAGCCAUUUCCUUCGCCAUGGUCGUCCUCUCCCUGAGCUUCUUCCCUUCCCCGGACUCCAUCACCAGUCGCACCUUAGCCUCCACCUCGUCUGCCGUCACCAACUCCUCGUCAUAGCCCUCCACCGCCACCCCAACCUUCAUCUCCUCCACCAUGUGCACCUUGUUCAACCUUUGCUCCGCGUAUAAUGGCCAGCAGAUCAUCGGCACACCGGACAUGAUCGCCUCCAGUGCCGAGUUCCACCCACAGUGGGUCACGAAUGCUCCCACCGCCUCGUGCCGCAGCACCUCUGUCUGCGGCGCCCAGUUUUCCAGAACCAUUCCUCUGUCUUUGGUUCUCUCCAAGAAUCCAUCCGGAAGCAACGCCUCCAGGUCAGGCUCGGGAGAGUUGCUCUGCUCGCUUCGCACGGCCCACAAGAACCUGUGCCCUGAACGCUCUAGCCCGCGCGCCGUCUCUUUCAGCUGCGCCGCCGAGAAGGUGCCCAUGCUUCCGAAGCAGAGGAACACCACGCUUCGUUUCGGCUGCUCGUCCAUCCACUCGAGACACGCGUGCCACUCGCCGUUUUUGUUGGUGUCGCCACCGUCGACCAGUGGCCCGACGCAGUAGAUUUUCGGUGUCGAGCGGCCGGGCAGGCAAUGCCCAUCACGUAGCGCUUUCAGCGCCCUCGACUCCAGCCACUCGAAGCUGUUCACCAGGAUGCCUGUCGCUUCCGGCAUCCGGGCGAUCUGCUGCAGCCGCACCCUGCCCACGUCGCUCUCCCAAUCCUGCAUGCUGUCGGGCAUGUCGAGGGCGCGGACCGGCGGCACGCCGGAGAAUCCCAGCGGCGCCUUGCCCAUGUCCUUCGGCGAGGACGGCACCGCGCGGCGAAAAUCCGGAAGCUGGAGGUAGACCGCGAGGUCGCCGGCCGCGGACGGGUAGAAGAUGUACGCGGGGAUGGCGAGCUCUGCGGCGACGUCGAGCGCGUCGGUGCAGAACAUGUCGACCACGAUGGCGUCGACGGCGGUGGCCUGCGAGCGGAGGAACUCCCGGAGCGCGGGGCUCGCGACGCGGAGCGCGUCCAGGAUGGGUAUGAUGGGGUGGGAGUACCCCUUGUUGCUGGCGCGCGACGACGGCGGGAUGGGGAGCAGGCGGACCGUGAUGGAGGGACUGGCCGCAGCCAGGCGCGCCAGCGCGGCCGCCAGCACGGCGUCCUUCUCGGGCGGGUCGACGACGGCGAUGGUGACGGCGACGCCGCCGCGGCGGAGCAGGGCCUUGGCCAGCUGCGCCAUGGGGUUCAGGUGCCCCACGCCCAAGGAGGGGUACAGCACCACCGUCUUCUCCGCCAUGGCCUUGUGUUCCUCGCCGAGCUCACAAGAGAGUCCAACAAGAUCAAGGAGGGGCACAGGCACAAAAGGAGCCGUGGUGCUAUUGAUCUCCUUCCACGGGCCAACUCCCUCGCUUUACGUCCCCCAUUUGCAGCUAAACAUGAUGUACUUGUGGUGCCUGGUCCAUUGUCCUGGUGCAUCAGACGGGCAGCCAGCACAUGCUUCGCUCCUACUAGCAGAGGAGAAAGGGAACGUGUGGUCGCCGUCCCGUCUGCGAGGAUCAUGGCAGAACUCGCGUCAGCAUAUUCAGGACCACCCCGCCACCUCGGCGUCCUGAUGAACUGGGCCGCUGGGCGCGAUCCACGACACGAUGUAACUGACGGGCUCGCCACAUCUGAAGCGUCGGGCCACCUGUUUUUGGCUAAGGCAAGAUUCACCUGCUUUUUUCAGAAAAAAACAUCUCUAGCUUGUUUUUUUAUUACAGUAUGAAUUUGUGCCAGCCCUUCAUGCUACCUAUCUCCGAUCCGGAAGAAAAAAAAAUCGUUUUUCUCAUUUAUAUGGUAGCCAUAGCACGUCAACGACAAGAUCUAUAUACAUAUACGCCAUACUGGAGGUAGUAACGUUUUGACAUCAAUGUAUUUUUUUCUUUGUUAAACAACAUACAUACACAUACACAUACAAUAUUGUAAUCAGAUUAACAUAUUACCUUCCACUGUGCAAAGGUUAAGUUCGAUUUUAUAGUCGUAUAUUUUGCAAUAUUACUCUUGUAUAUACAAACGCAUAGCUCAAUUUGUAAAUUGCCAGCUAGCAAUUUCAAGUCCAACAGCCGUCUAUGAAAAUUGUUCAAAAUCUUAUCAUCACAAUGGCAAAUCUAAGGAGGUAUGUUACACACCUAGCAGAGCUUGAAGCCAAUAGACACACGGUGAAAAUAGUUUCUGUGAGGUACCGGAUUUUCGAAAGAGAAUCCGACUCUGUGUAUCGUCGUGACUCUCUGUAUCGUUGUGAUAGUCCCUGAUCAGUAGCUAUCACAUGCAGAACUCAUCUCAGACGGAUAUCUUAAUCAUACAUUGCAUAGAUUUAGAUAUGGAUUUAAUUUAUUACACAAUCUGAAGUAUUGUAUCACGAGUUUUACAAUACAAGCUUCUUGGGCUAAGGUGAAACGAACAGAAAACGGAAGCGGUAGCUAAGCUUCUGGGCCAUCCUUUGUCUUGGGGAACACCCCUCCACAGGCAACUUUGAGUGAAGUACGGGCCAUCCUUUAGUCAUCCUUCUUAGUCGGGGUUACGAUUCGGAUCAAAUCCUGCAUCUACCAACUAUCUCCAAGGAGUGGGAUAGGUUCACGUCACCAUCCGCAUGCAAGGUUUAAGUGGUCAGGUAUAGCAAAAUCAAGGAGGAAAGAUGGGGUUUCCUAUGCAUAAGCAGCACCAUAAGUUAUAUCAUCAUCCAAACUCCGAACUCGGGCCAUUACAGCAUUCCAGACUCCCGGUUCACACACACCUUCGAAAUACCACCGAAUCGGUGCGAGAACUCCCACUCCUCGCACCUCAGCUGCCCCAGGCAAAAGUCAAACACUAGAGGGAGGUAGAAAACAUGUGUAACACUAAUUAAUAAGAGUAACAGAAGAGUAGGAUUGUACAUGACCGAGUACACGUAUAGUUUUCACCCUACAGGGGUUGUACACCUAGACUCACUCGAAUCUAAGCUAGCUAGGAGCGACCCAACUGAACGAUGAGACACCGGUCUACUGAAACAGGAUUAGGAGCCACGGCACCAUCCGGCUUUCCCGGAUCUUGGGCGCAUCCUCCCGCAAGAGGUCGCUUCGGGAUUGUGAAGCCUCCCUUGCGUUUCGAGGAACAUGAGGUCAGCACCUCCUUCCCCUGCACUGAUACUCGAUCCUUCUACCGGCUUGGUACCGCACUCGCUAGCCCCGGACCGGGUCUACCCUCAUAAUGGGUAAGUGGUGUGCACGCUUAACAUAGUCCCACUAAUUAUAGUUACCCUCAACCGGUUCUCAAUUGCCGAAGCAAGCAUCUUCAUCACAUGCGUCUCCACCGUAAUGGUCCGCAGCUGCACCCAUUACGGGUGCCACCAACUCCUCAACCAAGUAACCACUAGAGACGUACCUGCCAUAGGCACACCAUAGAGUGUGCCAAGAUACACACUCCAAACCCUCGAUCCAAAGAUCAAGUUAAGGUGGCUUGCUCCCUACUAAAAGGCCUAUUCACCAACUCUGAAAAGUGUAUCUCCACUCACACUAAGACUAUCCAUGCAUCCCACACAUACACAUAUAAGGCAUAGCAAGGCAUCUCAUAUAAUUAUCAUGUAUAUAGUAUUACAAGAAGUUCAUGUAAUUAAAAUAGGCUAUGCAGGUUUAUCUCAUCAUAACAUAAGAUAAAGCACAACAUAUCUAGCGAGUAAUGCCUAAUAGGUAUUCAAAUUCGUAGAUGGGCGUGAACCUAGUGGUUCUUUGUAGUCUUCCGGUGUCUUCUGGUCAUCUGGGAAGUCCUCCUAGAUCUUCCGGUUGUCCGGGACGUCGGUCAAUUCCUUCUUGCGGGGACCUAAUCAUAAAUACAUAUAAAUAUAGGGACCAAAAUUCAAAAACACAUAAAAGUACUCAAAUAAGAUCCAAAUCACAACAAAACCUAAUCUAAUGGGUAGAUCAUGAUUUUAGAAGAAUUAUGAAACUGGUUUCAUAAUUUUUGCAGGUCCGGUUAAUUAAUUAUGAAUAUUCUAAGAUUAAUUUAUUUUUUGAAAUUAAUAAAAGAUUUUGGAAAAAGAACACACGGUCACCUCCACGUGUCAGUACCAGGGUGCGCUACGUGGCAUGCUGACGUCAUCAUGAGGUCAGCAGGUGGGUUGGAUCCGCUGACGUUAGCAGUGGGUCGUGUUGACGUCAGGGUUGACUGGUCAACGCUGACUAGUCAACGGUCAAUGGGGUCAGGUGGUCAGUGGGUCCUGCUGGUUAGUCACACCAUGUCACUGACAGAUGGGACCCACGUGUCAGGUCGAUGAAAGGAAAAAGAAAAAGAUUAGACGGCUCGGGCUCACUGGGCUGAAAGAUACUGGGCUGGCUCGGUCCAGCCCAUCAGGCUCGGCUUGGCUAAAUAGGCCGGCAUGCCGAGUUGGGUUGGUCUCGGCCCAAUGCGCCCGUCUCCUCCCCUUAUUCUCUUACAACUCGGCCCCGCAGGUCAGUUUCUCCCUCUCCCUACUCACACACGUUGACAGGCAUGGCCCACCGGUCAGUGGCUCGCCAGACCUGGUGUGGCAGCGCCCAGAUCCGGUGCGGUGGCUACGCGUGUGUGAGUCAAGUGUCAGUGGAGGUGGGUGUACCUGUGUGUGCCCCAAGGGCGUUCGACGAAAGGCCGCACUGGCCUGGCCGUGACACGAACGCGAUGUCGUGGUCGUGCUGGGGUGGUGACCGCACACCGUGAGUCCGUGAUGAGGCAGGCAUGACUGGAAUUGGCAGGUGUGUGCGCCGGUGCGCGGCCUCCUGGUGCUCCAGAGCCACAGCGCAGGGGCAGGACGGCGGCACAGUGUGGUAGGGUAAGGCGAGAUCACGAUGGCGGGGCUCGGGAAAGGGCAAAGGCACAGCCUUUUGCCGUUGGCUGGGGACGAGCUCACGCUCGGGAGCACAUGGCAGUCCAGGGCCGCGACGCGACGGUGCGGCGUGGCAAGGUGGGAGGAUGACCGGCGAUCAAGGGCCGUGAGGCAAGGACAAGGCUCGGCCUUGUGGCCGACGGCUUGGUGCGCAUGCACGCGCGCGGGUCUUGGUACCCCAGGACCGCGGCGUGGCUGUGCCGUGCGCGGGGCACCGGUGUUCCGAGCCCGCGACACGGUUACAGCGGCGAGAGGGCGACGGCGGCUGCAGGAAACAUGGCGGCACUUCAGGCUCCUGCACGAGAAGGGGUAGGAUUGGGGAUUAUAGGGACCCCUGUUGGAAGGUUCAUCGAUGUCGGGGAGCUCGUCGGCAGUAGGAGGGAGAACGGGAAGGGGCGGCGGCACCUACCAGCGUGGUUGACAAAGGCGGGGACGGCACUGUUACGGGGGUGCGGACGUGACAAGGUGAGGCUGUGCGGGUAGCGCAAGGACGUCGGUGUCGUCGAGUGGGGCGCUGGCGUGGCGGCGAACUCCAACGGCGGCGGCGUGAGGCAAUUCCGGCGGUGGCUUCUUCAGCUGGGACAGCUCCCCCUUGGCUUGCGCGUCUUCGAUCGGUGGUGGCGUCGGGCUCACGGCGGCGCUCGUAGGCUCUUGAGCGGGUGGCUCCUCCUCCUUGGGCCCACCUCCUUCUCCUCCUCUUCCUCUUCUCCCCCUCAGGUAACGGCGGCGGACAAGGGGGAAAACCCCAAAGACAGCUAGGGUUUCGGAUCCGGUGGCUGGGGCUUUUGUAGGCGGCUAGCUAGGGUUUGGCUCGGUCGGUUGCGCGAGGACGACGGGGAUCCUCGGCGUCCAGGCCGUGGACGCGUGGCGCGGAUCCGAGGGGGUCCCGGGCUAGGGUUCGGGAUGCAGCUCGAGGCUUGGUGACCGAUAGGGGAGGUGCGGCGGCAGGCGUGACGCAAGCGAGGCAGCACGGCCGUUGCACUGCUUUGGCGCAAAGCGAGGGAGGCGAGGCGCUGGGGGGAGUGCACGCGCGGGCGGAGACGGUGAGGGAGCGGGGUGAGGCGCGGUUGGAGGUGGGAGAAGGGAAAGCUGACGAGUGGAUCCCACUCAUCAGUAGCUCGAGCGGUGGAGAAGGGGUAAGCCCGACGAGGUCGCGGGCUGGGCCAGUUAACGGGCCAUGUGAGGGUGUGCUGGCAGGCCGGCUUAGCCAGCUGGGCUGGAUUAUGGCUGGUUUUUAGGUAGAGUAGGUUAGUGGGUCAGGCCGGGUUAGGGCUGGAUUGGGGUUAGAGUCAGCGGAUCAGGUUAGGGCUAGGGCCAAGCGUUUUAGAGACUUAGGUGGGUCCACGCAGGGUAAGUUAGCUUUUGAAUUUAAAUUUAAAGGGCACACUUCAAAUUUAAAUUUCACAUAAUUUCAAACCAAGAAAAUAAAUCCCAGAGCGAUUUCAAAUAAACAAGAUAGCUUCGAUUAAAUCCUAACAACUCCAAUUAAAUUCAUACUAACAAGAAUAUCCUUAAUCCAAACCAAACCAACAAAUUCAAACAAGCCAAUUCGGAAGAACUCGAAUAACUCCAAAUUAAAUCACAUUAAUAGAUUAGUUUAACACUUAUAUAUUAGGUUUUAUUUUGCUAGGAAUUUCGGAUACAAGAGAGAUAUCCUUAUAUUAUUCCCAGAUUCUAACACUUACAUAAGAAGUUUUUAAAAUUCACGAUUUUUGCAUCUUAGAACAUUCCGGAAAAAAUUCGGGAUGUUACAGUUUCAUUUUAUGGCUUCUGAUUUUUUUUUGAGACAAUAUGGGGAGAAGGGCUAGUCAAAGUUCCAUUAAAAACAAAGAACAAUUGUGGGUCCAUCACAAUUCGCUUUCUUUCGUACAAAUCCUGUUCUUUUGCAAGUCUGUCAGGAACUCGUCAAAUACCACGUCAGAUGACCCGCCUUUCUUGAUAGCAUCUAUAGCCAUCUCCCUAGCCGUCGUGAUCCUUUGCCUAAGCUCCUUCCCGUUAUCAGGCGCCAUCACCAAUCUCACCUUUGUUUCCAACUCCUCUGCUUUCACUAGCUCCUCCUCGUACCCCUCCACCACCACGCCCACUUUCAUCUCCUCCACCAUAUGCGUCUUGUUCAUUCUUUGCUCCGCAUACAAUGGCCAGCAGAUCAUCGGCACUCCUGACACGAUGCCCUCUAACACCGAGUUCCACCCACAAUGCGUCACGAAUGCUCCGACGGAUUGGUGCCGCAGCGCCUCGCUCUGCGGCACCCAAUUCUUCACCACAGACCUCCUCUCCCUAGUCCGGUCCAAGAAACCCUCCGGAAGCAACGAUUCCAAGUCUGGCUCGACGGAGUUGCUCUGGUGCUCAGGUGGGUUCCGCACCACCCACAGGAACCUCUUCCCGGAGUUCUCCAGCCCACGCGCCAUCUCUCUCAACUGCGGGGUGGAGAACCUGCCCAAGCUGCCGAAGCUGAGGAAAACAACGCUCCGGUCCGGUUGGGAGUCCAGCCAUUCGAGGCACGCGUGCCUCUCGCUGAUCCCUUCCGCGUUUCCAGGGAGGACCAACGGCCCGAUGCAGUGGACUGGCGGAGUCGAACGCCCGGGCGUGCAGAGGCCACACCUGAGCGCUUUCAGGGCCCGCGACUCCAACCAGUCGAAGCUGUUCACGAGAAUGCCUCUCGCGUCGAGCAUGCGCGCGUACUGGGCAAGCCGCGCCUUGGAGACGUCGCUGUCCCGGUCCUGCACCGUGGUCGGCAUGUCGAGAGCGCGGAUCGGCGGCACGCCGGGGAAGUGGAGGACGGCCUCGGGCAUAUCCUUGAACGAGGACGGGGCGGCGGGGUAGUAGUCCGGCAGGUGGAGCAUGACGGCGAGGUCGCCGAGCGCGGAGGGGAAGAAGAGGUAUGCGGGAACGCCGAGCUCGGCGGCGACGUCGAGCGCGUCCGUGCAGAACAUGUCGAGCACGACGGCGUCCACGGCGGGGACCUGCGCGCGGAGGAACUCCCGGAGCGCCGGGUUGGCGGCGCGCAUCACGUCGAUGAUGCGCAUGACGAGGUGGGGAUGGUCCUCCCUGCCGCAGGGCGGGAUGGGGAGGAGGCGGAACGCGACGUUCGGGUUCGCGGCGGCGAGGCGCGCCAACGCGUCGGCGGACACGGAGUCCUUGUCGGGCGAGUCGACGACGGCGAUGGCGACGGCCAGGCCGCGGCGGAGGAAGAUCUUGGCCAGCUCCACCAUGGGGUUCAGGUGGCCGACGCCCAGCGAGGGGUACAGGACCACCGUCUUCGGCGCCGCGACGGCCAUGGGUCACAGUUCUCGUUCUUGACGAGGGAACGGAACGCGACAUUGAAAUACGGGGCCACCUGUUUAUUCUAUAUAUAACGUGAAGCGGCAGGGCCUUUGGCCUGUCCAGUUGUUUGUCUUUGAAUGGCUGCCGUUGUUUCCAUGUGUUCACUUCCAAUUCAAGUCUCACGUUGAGCUGGAGAGAGCCAAAUCGGCAACGUGUUAAGGCUGCCCGGCUGCGUGCCCGGGAUCAAUGGGCGGCGCCGGCGCUCCUCUUGUUUGAAGUAACCGCUUCGAAAUGUGCGCAGACAAACGGCGAGCUCUUUAAUCAUCUUGGCCUUGGCAACGCAUCACGGGUUCACCUUUUGCUUCUAACAUUUAAAAUGAAAACAUUUCUAGUCAAGAACGCAUCUAAAAAUCCUCAACAUCUAAAGAUUUCCGAUCAACCAAGAUUGGAGUUGUUGCGACUAUUUAUGUUUGUGGCGACUAUCUGACCGAAAAAGAAGCGCCGGUAGUCAGAUCUAGCCCAUAGAGCGAGUUGGGCCACAGCUAGCUAGGUCCAUUUCUGGAUUGAGGCGUGCGGUGGACUUAGUGUAAAUAUCACACUUUUGCUUACUUAGAUUGCUCUCUCACGUUGUAAAUUAUAGAUUUAUCUAAUCUACUAGCUAAUUGGUAGGUAACUAAUUUUAGCUAAGGUGAAUCCGAAUAGGACAAACUAAUUGUCAGGUAAAGUCCUUCUAUAUACCUAAAUAUUAGCUAUCUAAUUAGCCGAUCCAACCUAAAUAAUUUAUAGCCUCUAAUGGAUUAGCUGGGUGGAUCCAAACAGGCUUUAUGAAUAAAAAUUUGCGAUCCUCACUUUUCAGAAAAGAAAAAAAAAUGGCGAUCUUCAAACUAAGUAGGAUUGAGCACAUCCGAUUUUUGGACAAUUGUUUCCAGGAUGACAAACUUCUAGCCUUCUACGGUUCCCAACCAAGCAAUAAGCAAAAUCUUCUUUACCCACUUUUUUUUUAUUAUAGCUGAUAUUCUAUUUGUAGAAGGUACAAAAUAUGGUUGGUCAAACAAUGAAAGGAUAGCAUAGAAUGAUAGAAUAUUAUAAGAUAAAAGGUAACACAAGCUACAAAUCCAUUAGUGGGCGAGCUCCUCUCCAAGGUUCUCCACGUCCAACAAGAACUGAACAAACGCUGCGUGUGACGAGCCUCCUACCUCUAAUGCCGCCUCUGCUUCUUUCCUUCGUGCCACCACUCGUGCCUGGAGCUCCCUCCCCUCCUCAGACUCCAUCACCAGUCUUACUUUUGCCUCCACCUCCUCGGCCUUGAUAAAACCUGUCCUAUACCCCUCUAUCUCUACUCCAACACCCAUAUCCUCAGUCAUGAAUAUCUUGUUCAUCUUCUGCUCCGCAUACAAGGGCCAGCACAACAUCGUGACCCCCGCCAUGAUGCCCUCCAUCGUCGAGUUCCAUCCGCAGUGGGUCACGAAUGCGCCUGUAGCUGGGUGGUUCAGUACAUCCACCUGCGGUGCCCAUGACUUGAUAACAAGGCCUCGAUCCUUGGUUCGCUCCAAGAAACCCUCCGGUAGGAGGGCAUCGAGGUCCGGCUCACAUGGUUUGUCCAAUAACCUCUUCGGAUCAUUGAUGUUGGCCGGAACGCGCACGACCCAUAGGAACCGUUGCCCGGACUUCUCCAGGCCAACGGCGAUCUCCUUGAGCUGCUCGACGGAGAAUGUGCCCAUGCUCCCGAAGCAGAGGAACACGACGCUGCGCUCCGGCUGAGCAUCGAGCCACGCGAGGCACUCGUGCCUCUCUGUUUUCUCGCCAUUCCGUCCGCCGCCGCUGACCAACGGCCCGACGCAGUAUACUGGAGGCAGCACCUUGCCAGGGAAGCACAGGGGAUCCCUGAGUGCCCGCACCGCUCGACUCUCGAACGACUCGAACGUGUUCACCAGAACCCCCCUGCUGUUCAUGCCGCGCUCAAAGAUGCUCACCAUGGUCUUGCACUGCUCUUCCUCGGGGUGCGCGAGCAGUUCCGCGAUCAGGUGGGACGCCGGCACGGGCGGAACGCCAAGGAACUCGAGGGGCGUGUCCCCCAGCUCCUCCAGACCCGUCUGCCUGCCGGCCAACAGCGUCGGGAGCUGGGUCACCACGGCCAGCGAUGACGCGCCCGAGGGGACGAACGUGUAAGCCGGGACGCCCAGCUUCGCGGCGACGUCGAUGGCGUCGACGCAGAACAUGUCGAUGACGAGCGAGUGCAAGCGCUGCCGCGGGAUGGAGCGGAGGAAGCCCUCGAGCUUGUCGUUGUACUGGCGCAGCAUCUGCAGCAUGAGGAGGAACGGGUGCUUGGGGGAGCCGGCGAAGUCGGGGGCCGGGAUCGGCGGGAGGACAUGGAAGGAGAUGGACGGAUUGGCCGCGGCGAUCUGCUCGAUUUGGCUGGCGCCCAGUGCGGACGACUUGAAGGGCGGUGGGACGAUCACCAUGGUGACGUCGUAGCCGUGGCUGAGGAAGACCCUGGCGAGCUCCGCCAUGGGCACGACGUGGCCAACGCCGGCGGCGGGGUACAGGAUGACGGUCUGCUUCAUUUGCUUAAGCGGUGGUUCGCCUUCGCCAACUAGAAACUAGGAACAAAUAUUUCGGAACAAAUAAGGAUGCUUUCGCUCGAGUUAUCCUGGGAGAUGCUUGGCUAGCUGCGUAGUUAGGCAGGCAACAUUUUAUAGCUGCGUACUGCCUUGCCGGAGAAGCAGCCUGAUGAAUCGUUUGGUCAGAGGAGAGAUGCCUUCUAACUACUGCUGUAUAGAUAGCCAUGUUUGGCAGCAUGUCAGGAGAUGGAUAUGGGAGGAUGCUUCCUGGCAAUCUGUAUUUUCUAGUUUCUAGAAGAAGCAAGACUUGAUCACCUUAUUUAUGUAUGAUUGUGCUUGCGGUACAAGCUGUAACUAGGACUUUUACGUUUUAAUAACCAAAAACUGUUCUAAAGAAAAUUAAAAAGUUAAUAGUACCUUACAAGUUGCAGAUCAAGGCAAAGGUGGAGCUUGAAGGAGUCAACAGAGGGCCAGACUGAGACAGCCUGUGGUUCAAAUUCCCGGUAAGAAAUGGUUUUAUCUUACCAUUUUAUUACCACACAAGUAGCAGUAGCAAUGGACCGGAGGGAAAACAAAUAUAUGUCAUAGUCGGUUCACCUCACAUCAGUCAUCUCACAACUCUACUUGUUCCAAGUCUUCCAUGUACCCUGCUGUACACGUUAUCACCGUGACCUUUGAAUGUGUGGAACCGUUUCAUCGAGGCACGCAUGAACUCCGCUUUAGUCCACUCAGCCAUCUCUCCCCGUUCCAAAUCAAAAGGUUUUCGUGAUAUGAGAGAGGCAAGAAAUAACGAUUGCAAAAAAUCCUUCCUUUUUUCUUUCAUUUCAAAAGUGCAUAAAAAUUAUAUUGCCAAUUCCAUUUUAAUUACAUUCUUUUUUCUUAAUGUUAAUAAAAAAGAAGAAAAUUCUUGUUUUUUCUUUCCUAAAUUCGAUAUAGGCUGGGUUGAGAUGAGAGACAAUCAGAUAAAUUUUCUCUUCAGCGGGCAGUUCCAUAUAGGAUUUGUUAGAAUAAAAACAAGUAGGUUAUAAAAAAAACUCUUUUUUCCGAUUAUUUAUCCACAAAGCAAAAAAAGGUUCUUAUCAGACCCACAAUAAAAUUAGAAAGAAAGAUAAAGUAAGUAGACCUGACCCCUUGAAUAAUGCCUCU
rnacentral:lncRNA from 1 species